rnacentral:lncRNA from 1 species
AUAAGCCCCUUCAGGCUUAAAAGCUUAUGAUAUUUAAAAGGGUUAAUUUCGUACAGAUCUCUAUAAAUAUAGUGAAUUGCUAAAACAUUUCUACAAAGUUCACCUUUCAUAUGUUGUGCCUACAACAUUUCUGAUGUUUUCAAAUAUGUUCCUACCGUUAGAAUUCAUUAGAAAAAAUUAGUUAACCGUAGAUAAAAUACUUAACCAUAUUUAGUUAAUGAUCGGAAUUGAUAUUUUUACCCCUCUUCAAUUUAUAGCUGGAAUUUUUGAAUAAAUAUAUUUGUGAUGGCAAAAAUAUUAUUUUAUUUAUGAAAUAAAUGGUAUUUUAAAGGUAAUAAAUCAGACGAAUAUAUUUAAAAAUGUUAAAAUUUUGGAUGGAGAUUAUCUUUUUUCUCUCUCCUCUUCCAUUUCCCAGAUCCCUUCUCACUCUCUU